rnacentral:rRNA from 1 species
CCAAUAGCGUAUAUUAAAGUUGUUGCAGUUAAAAAGCUCGUAGUUGAAUUUCGGGGUUCAUCCGUUGGUCGGGCUUUUUUGGUCUGUACUGGCGUGAUGGAUUCCUACCUUCUGAAUAACCAGCAUGUCAUUAAUUUGGUGCGCUGGGGAAGCAGGACUGUUACCUUGAAAAAAUUAGAGUGCUUAAAGCAGGCUAUCGCCUGAAUACAUUAGCAUGGAAUAAUGAAAUAGGACGGCAUGGUUCUAUUUUGUUGGUUUCUAGGAUCACCGUAAUGAUUAAUAGGGAUAGUUGGGGGCAUUAGUAUUCAAUUGUCAGAGGUGAAAUUCUUGGAUUUAUUGAAGACUAACUUCUGCGAAAGCAUUUGCCAAGGAUGUUUUCAUUAAUCAAGAACGAAAGUUAGGGGAUCGAAGACGAUCAGAUACCGUCGUAGUCUUAACCAUAAACUAUGCCGACUAGGGAUCGGACGAUGUUAAUUUUUUAAUGACUCGUUCGGCGCCUUAC